rnacentral:rRNA from 1 species
GAUGAACGCUGGCGGCGUGCCUAAUACAUGCAAGUCGAGCGAACAGACGAGGAGCUUGCUCCUCUGACGUUAGCGGCGGACGGGUGAGUAACACGUGGAUAACCUACCUAUAAGACUGGGAUAACUUCGGGAAACCGGAGCUAAUACCGGAUAAUAUAUUGAACCGCAUGGUUCAAUAGUGAAAGACGGUUUUGCUGUCACUUAUAGAUGGAUCCGCGCCGCAUUAGCUAGUUGGUAAGGUAACGGCUUACCAAGGCGACGAUGCGUAGCCGACCUGAGAGGGUGAUCGGCCACACUGGAACUGAGACACGGUCCAGACUCCUACGGGAGGCAGCAGUAGGGAAUCUUCCGCAAAGGGCGAAAGCCUGACGGAGCAACGCCACGUGAGUGAUGAAGGUCUUCGGAUCGUAAAACUCUGUUAUUAGGGAAGAACAAAUGUGUAAGUAACUAUGCACGUCUUGACGGUACCUAAUCAGAAAGCCACGGCUAACUACGUG